rnacentral:rRNA from 1 species
UCUGGUAAUGAUGGCAGAGAGGUCACACCCGUUCCCAUACCGAACACGGAAGUUAAGCUCUCUAGCGCCGAUGGUAGUUGGGACCUUGUCCCUGUG